CAUAUCAAUAAGCGGAGGAAAAGAAACUAACAAGGAUUCCCCUAGUAACUGCGAGUGAAGCGGGAAAAGCUCAAAUUUAAAAUCUGUCAGUCUUUGGCUGUCCGAGUUGUAAUCUAGAGAAGUGUUAUCCGCGCUGGACCGUGUACAAGUCUCCUGGAAUGGAGCGUCAUAGAGGGUGAGAAUCCCGUCUCUGACACGGACUACCAGGGCUUUGUGAUGCGCUCUCAAAGAGUCGAGUUGUUUGGGAAUGCAGCUCAAAAUGGGUGGUAAAUUCCAUCUAAAGCUAAAUAUUGGCGAGAGACCGAUAGCGAACAAGUACCGUGAGGGAAAGAUGAAAAGAACUUUGGAAAGAGAGUUAAACAGUACGUGAAAUUGCUGAAAGGGAAACGCUUGAAGUCAGUCACGUUGUCCAGGGAUCAACCUUGCUUUUGCUUGGUGUACUUUCUGGCUGACGGGUCAGCAUCAAUUUUGAUCAUUGGAAAAAGGUUAGGGGAAUGUGGCAUCUUUGGAUGUGUUAUAGCCCUUGAUUGCAUACAAUGGUUGGGAUUGAGGAACUCAGCACGCCGCAAGGCCGGGUUUUAACCACGUACGUGCUUAGGAUGUUGGCAUAAUGGCUUUAAUCGACCCGUCUUGAAACACGGACCAAGGAGUCUAACAUGCCUGCGAGUGUUUGGGUGGAAAACCCGAACGCGUAAUGAAAGUGAAAGUUGAGAUCCCUGUCGUGGGGAGCAUCGACGCCCGGACCAGACCUUUUGUGACGGUUCCGCGGUAGAGCAUGUAUGUUGGGACCCGAAAGAUGGUGAACUAUGCCUGAAUAGGGUGAAGCCAGAGGAAACUCUGGUGGAGGCUCGUAGCGAUUCUGACGUGCAAAUCGAUCGUCAAAUUUGGGUAUAGGGGGCGAAAGACUAAUCGAA
rnacentral:rRNA from 1 species